rnacentral:rRNA from 1 species
UACGGAGGGGGCUAGCGUUGUUCGGAAUUACUGGGCGUAAAGCGCACGUAGGCGGCUUUGUAAGUUAGAGGUGAAAGCCCGGAGCUCAACUCCGGAACUGCCUUUAAGACUGCAUCGCUAGAAUUGUGGAGAGGUGAGUGGAAUUCCGAGUGUAGAGGUGAAAUUCGUAGAUAUUCGGAAGAACACCAGUGGCGAAGGCGACUUACUGGACACAUAUUGACGCUGAGGUGCGAAAGCGUGGGGAGCAAACAGG